CCUUGGAGCCCGGCUGCUCCGUGGUCCCUGGAGUAGGUUGCCUGUGAGGUGUUCACUUUCUAUAUGAUGAAUAUUAUACAGUCAACCUCUUUCCGGUAUCGAAUUCC
rnacentral:pre_miRNA from 1 species